rnacentral:rRNA from 1 species
AUUGAACGCUGGCGGCAGGCCUAACACAUGCAAGUCGAGCGGAGUUGUGGUGCUGGCACCAUAAAUUAGCGGCGGACGGGCGAGUAAUGCUUAGGAAUCUGCCUAUUAGAGGGGGACAACAUCUCGAAAUGGAUGCUAAUACCGCAUACGUCCUACGGGAGAAAGCAGGGGACCUUCGGGCCUUGCGCUAACAGAUGAGCCUUAGUCGGAUUAGCUAGUUGGUGGGGUAAGGGACUACCAAGGCGACGAUCUGUAGCGGGUCUGAGAUGAUGGUCCGCCACACUGGGACUGAGACACGGCCCAUACUCCUACGGGAGGCAGCAGUGGGGAAUAUUGGACAAUGGGGGUAACCCUGAUCCAGCCAUGCAGCGUGUGGGAAGAAGGCCUUUUGGUUGUAAAGCACUUUAAGCGAGGAGGAGGCUACUGGUAUUAAUACUACCGGAUAGUUGACGUUACUCGCAGAAUAAGCACCGGCUAACGCUGUGCCAGCAGCCGCCGUAAAAC